rnacentral:piRNA from 1 species
UAUAUUGAUGAAAGGGCUUAAGGAUAUAU